rnacentral:lncRNA from 1 species
UGAAAAUGUGCGCUUCGGAUAGCGUCAGCUGCUCCGCCCAUCCCCACCCAGCAAGUGGGUAGCGGGGAAGGGACCAGAGGCUGCAGGCCUGCGAAUGAGAACGGUCUCUACGUGCCCAUCCAGGGAGCUGAACUUCUUCCUUCAGCAGAACCUGAACACCCAAGCUUUUCCCUCCAAGAUGAGGAAACCGAGAUCCAGAGAAGAUCCAAGACCACGCUGUGGGCUGCAGGUAAAGCCAGAGCCAGACAAUCUCUCUCUAGAUUCCUAGUCCAAGUUCACACUCCUUGGCAUGAUAACCGUGAUGAUAAAGCCGUUUUCCAGCUUGGUCUCCCAUCGCCCCU